rnacentral:rRNA from 1 species
AGCAGCCGCGGUAAUUCCAGCUCCAAUAGCGUAUAUUAAAGUUGUUGCAGUUAAAAAGCUCGUAGUUGAAUUUCGAGAUCAAUUUUCUUGGUCAUACCUUUGUAUGUACUGGUCUUAUUGAUUUCUCCCUUCUGAUGAACCAUGAUGUCAUUAAUUUGGUGUUAUGGGGAAUCAGGACUAUUACUUUGAAAAAAUUAGAGUGUUUAAAGCAGGCUCACGCUUGAAUACAUUAGCAUGGAAUAAUAGAAUAGGACUUUGGUUCUAUUUUGUUGGUUUCUAGGACCGAAGUAAUGAUUAAUAGGGAUAGUUGGGGGCAUUAGUAUUUAAUUGUCAGAGGUGAAAUUCUUGGAUUUAUGAAAGACUAACUUCUGCGAAAGCAUUUGCCAAGGAUGUUUUCAUUAAUCAAGAACGAAAGUUAGGGGAUCGAAGACGAUCAGAUACCGUCGUAGUCUUAACCAUAAACUAUGCCGACUAGGGAUCGGAUGAUGUUGUAUUUUUAAUGACUCAUUCGGCGU